UGCUGUGUCACGGGUCCACGCGCUCUGUCUGGCAAGGCCUCUUGUGAGGCCCCCAUUUCCCACCGCCUCCCUUCCCCCGGCGAGGCCUCCCCUCCCCCCAGAGCCCCUGCCUGGUGGGAAACUCCAGAGCCCUUGACGCAAGAUCCUCACUCCAAGACGGUUCUUUCCCGCCGUGGCUGGGCCAGGACCCAAGGGGACCCAGGGCAGAGGAUAAGUGGUUUAAAAGAAGGAAAACAGUUGCCAUCCAGGUCCUGCUUCCUGACUCCCUCCACCCUGGAGGAUAGAGGAAGGGACCCGGGUGAGCCCAGGGGAGGAGGGCAGGGUGACCUCAGGACCUGGCUGAGCCCUUGGCCAGCAAGUCCACCUCGAAUGGUGCCCAUGUGAGGUCAGUGCCAUCCCAGCCACUGAGGCUCAGUGGGUGCAGGGUCCCCUGGACACAGGUACGGGUGGCCUCCUUGUGGAGACGGUGCUGAGGGAGGGCUCAGUGGGGCUGAGGUCAGGGUCAGGCGUGGGUUCCGGCCCUGAGUGUCGCUGUCCCUCCCUGGGGCCGAGGGACCAGGCAGCCAAAGGGGCAGGCGGUAACUGGCAAGGUGGGGAGGGGGGCGGCCGUCGUGCCCUCCCUCAGCAGCACCGCCAUGAGCUCAGCUUGCAGAAGGAGGAAACCCUGACGGCCAGGAGGGAGGCAGUGCGAGGCCUGGCAGUGCCUGGGCAGCCGGGGACCUCGACCCUGUUCUUGCAGAAGGUUCCCAAUACCCGAGCAUCUCUGUGCUGCCCUGUGUCCCA
rnacentral:lncRNA from 1 species